rnacentral:rRNA from 1 species
GAUGAACGCUGGCGGCAUGCCUUACACAUGCAAGUCGAACGGCAGCACGGGUGCUUGCACCUGGUGGCGAGUGGCGAACGGGUGAGUAAUACAUCGGAACGUACCUUAUCGUGGGGGAUAACGCAGCGAAAAGCUGUGCUAAUACCGCAUACGCCCUGAGGGGGAAAGCGGGGGAUCGAAAGACCUCGCGCGAUUAGAGCGGCCGAUGCCUGAUUAGCUUGUUGGUGGGGUAAAAGCCCACCAAGGCGACGAUCAGUAGCUGGUCUGAGAGGACGAGUCAGCCACACUGGGACUGAGACACGGCCAGACUCCUACGGGAGCAGCAGUGGGGAAUUUUGGACAAGUGGGGGAAACCCUGAUCCAGCAAUGCCGCGUGAGUGAAGAA